AUGGCCGACGCUGGUCAGGUAGAAGAUGGAUACUUUAGGUUUUCCAAUGCAAUCGAAGUUGAAUUUGCUAUAAUCUGCACGCUGUCUGCUAUUGUGGGUGCUCUUGUCUGGCUUUCCGAACUUGUCUGGAAUUGGGAAUUUCAUACCAAAAAGCCGAAUGCCAAGAGAGGAAGGAGGAAUGAGAUUGAGACUGAUAUUGAAGAGAAUAAAGACAGGCUUAGUGACUUACCUGAUUGUAUACUCCUUUACAUUUUAUCAUUUGUGAAAGCCAAACACGUAGUCCAAACAUGCGUAUUAUCCAAAAGAUGGAAGGAUCUUUGGAAACAUCUCCCAACCCUUAUUUUACAUUCCCUUGACUUUACCCGUUUGUCGAGCUUCAAGCUUCACCAAAUUCGUGUCUCGCCUUCUGACUCUUCGCGAUCGCUCAACCGCGCUGCACGGUCUAGAUUUUGAGCGUCUUGGUUGUAUUCAGCCUCACCUCCUCAAAAGGAUUGUAAAGUAUGCCGUUUCACACAAUGUGCAGCGAUUAGGAUUGACUGUCACAACAUCUGAUAUUGAACACUUUCCGUAUUGCAUUUUUUCAUCUAAGACUCUGACAUCUCUUAAGCUCAUAGCUUACCGUUACACUAAAGGAAAUAAGAGAACAUUAUUUCCGAAAUCUCUUAGUUUGCCAGCACUAACUACCUUGCAUUUAGUGAAUUUUGACUUUUGUGCAAAUGAUGAUGGCAUUGUUGCUGAGCCCUUUUCAGUUUUAACCAAGUUGAAUAGUUUGAUCAUUGAAAACUGUAACCUAAGUGGUGCUGCCAAGAUCCUCUGCAUAUCAAGUAAGACACUGACCAAUUUGACUGUGCUUCACCGUUGUCAUUACUACCAAGUGCACUUCUCUUCUCCAAGUCUUCGUACCUUUGCCUUUACGGGCACUCCUUUUGAGACUAUCUGUGGAAGAAAUAUUUCUUCCAUUGAGCAUGUAAAUUUUGAUAUACAUUGGAAGUGUGAAAAGUAUUCUUUUAUUCUACUUAGCUGGCUGGUAGACCUUACCAAUAUAAAAUCAUUGACGGUUUCCACAAGUACUCUUCAGGUUCUCAUCUCAAUUCCUCAUUUGUUAGAGUAUAAGUAUCCUAUCUUGGGUAGCUUGAAGUCAUUGAAAGUUAAACUGAGAGGAGACAAGUACUUAUUUUCAUCUAUACCGGAUGGAACAGUGGACUAUUUGCUUCAAAACUCACCCUCUGCAAAGGUUGACAUCAUAAGGUGUUCAACGUGAUAUAUGCAUUAUGGAGAGAUGCUUAUAAUUACUAUGGUUUUUUCUUUCUUGUCUGAUUUUGUUUUCCUUAUUCUCUUUGGUUAUAUCUAAUUAUCCUCGGAUAAAUUAGGAGUCUUUUGAGUAGAAAAAUGAAUUGUACAUGCUUAGUACAAAUCACGCUUUAUAUGAUCAAUUCUUAUCCUAAAA